GUGAGCUUGUCAAGUGUCUAUUUAAAGAGAUGAUUAAUUGGUAUGGGGAUAGAAAUCUCAAUUUUUUUCCCUUGUUUAUUGAUGAUAUACAAAUAGCAGUAACUCCUCCUUCUAAGUCAUGAAUGAAGUCUUGUUGAGACAAAGGACCGUGCUCGUUCCGUUGAUUACUCUAUUGCACCUGUUGAAGCAGCUAUUGAAUCAGCUUUUGUUUUGUCAAUUUUUUGGCAAAAAUUCUGAUUUCCAGGUAAGCCGUUGAUGGUGAAAGCAUCAGACUUAUUAGGAUCGCCUCCAGAUGCAAGUGCUGAUUCAAUUACCUCCAUCACAUCUCCCUUGUAC